rnacentral:rRNA from 1 species
AUUGAACGCUGGCGGCAGGCUUAACACAUGCAAGUCGAGCGAGCGGCGGACGGGUGAGUAAUGUCUGGGAAACUGCCUGAUGGAGGGGGAUAACUACUGGAAACGGUAGCUCAUACCGCAUACAAUCAGAUGUGCCCAGAUGGGAUUGGCUAGUAGGUGGGGUAAGAGCUCACCGGGGCGACGAUCCCUAGCUGGUCUGACAGGUUGACCAGCCUCUCUGGAACUGAGACACGGUCCAGACUCCUACGGGAGGCAGCAGUGGGGAAUAUUGCACAAGGGGCGCAAGCCUGCGGCGGCCAUGCCGCGUGUGUGAAGAAGGCCUUCGGGUUGUAAAGCCCGUUCAGCGAGGAGGCGUUACUCGCAGAAGAAGCACCGGCUAACUCCGUGCCAGCAGCCGCGGUAAUAC